UGGGGAAUCUUCCGCAAUGGACGAAAGUCUGACGGAGCAACGCCGCGUGAGUGAAGACGGCCUUCGGGUUGUAAAACUCUGUGAUUCGGGACGAAAGGGCAGAGGAGGAAAUGCCUCAGCAUUGACGGUACCGAAAAAGCAAGCCACGGCUAACUACGUGCCAGCAGCCGCGGUAAUACGUAGGUGGCAAGCGUUGUCCGGAAUUAUUGGGCGUAAAGCGCGCGCAGGCGGCUUCUUAAGUCCAUCUUAAAAGUGCGGGGCUUAACCCCGUGAGGGGAUGGAAACUGAGAAGCUGGAGUAUCGGAGAGGAAAGUGGAAUUCCUAGUGUAGCGGUGAAAUGCGUAGAGAUUAGGAAGAACACCGGUGGCGAAGGCGACUUUCUGGACGAAAACUGACGCUGAGGCGCGAAAGCGUGGGGAGCAAACAGG
rnacentral:rRNA from 1 species